UUGAAGGGACUUUCGUCUCCUAAGACACUGAAGUGGAGGCAUUUGUGUCAAGGAUUCGCCAUCAAGUCAAAACAGCACCUGGACGCCAAUCCUGCGGUAAAUCCACGUUUAAAGCAGGAAGGGAGGCUAUCAGAAAGUCUGAGCCCAGACUGGACGAAGAGGGCAUGAUGACAUCCGUCUGCAGGCCCUGCAUUCUCUUGAGUGGCCUCAUCAUGUUUCGAGGAGAAAUAUUUGCCUACCCUCUGUACCUAAAGCAAGAUCUUGGUAAAAAAUGCAAGAUAGAGUUUGUUUGUGUGAAUACUACCCAUACAGGGGUUGACACUAAGGUUUCAAAAGCACUUGCCCAUCGGGCAAGUACAGG
ensembl:lncRNA